GAUGAACGCUGGCGGCGUGCUUAACACAUGCAAGUCGAACGGGAUCCCAGGAGCUUGCUCCUGGGUGAGAGUGGCGAACGGGUGAGUAAUGCGUGACCGACCUGCCCCAUACACCGGAAUAGCUCCUGGAAACGGGUGGUAAUGCCGGAUGCUCCGACAUGACGCAUGUCGUGUCGGGAAAGAUUCAUCGGUAUGGGAUGGGGUCGCGUCCUAUCAGCUUGAUGGCGGGGUAACGGCCCACCAUGGCUUCGACGGGUAGCCGGCCUGAGAGGGCGACCGGCCACAUUGGGACUGAGAUACGGCCCAGACUCCUACGGGAGGCAGCAGUGGGGAAUAUUGCACAAUGGGCGCAAGCCUGAUGCAGCGACGCCGCGUGCGGGAUGACGGCCUUCGGGUUGUAAACCGCUUUUGACUGGGAGCAAGCCCUUCGGGGUGAG
rnacentral:rRNA from 1 species